UACGGAGGGUGCAAGCGUUGCUCGGAAUUAUUGGGCGUAAAGGGUAGGUAGGUGGUCUCGUUUGUCUGGGGUGAAAGCCUUGAGCUUAACUCAAGAAGUGCCCCAGAAACGGCGAGACUAGAGUCUUGGAGAGGGUCGUGGAAUUCCCGGUGUAGCGGUGAAAUGCGUAGAGAUCGGGAGGAACACCGGUGGCGAAGGCGGAUCUCUGGGCCUUACCUGACGCUCAGGCGCGAAAGCUAGGGGAGCGAACUGG
rnacentral:rRNA from 1 species